UGUGUUAGAAAUGCAUGGCUGCCAUCAUACUCCGUGGCGAGUCACAAGAGAGCCCGGCAGAAAGGCUGGGAAUGAAGCAAGGAUGUCUGUGCUCAGAAUGGAGACUCGGCAUUGCUGGACAGCUAUGUGCGGGCCACAUCAGGAAAGGAAAAUCACAUGGAAACAUGUCUGAUGUCUACAAGGGUGUUUCCAGGAAGGUUUACCUGAAGAGGGAAGACUCACCUUGAGUUUGAAUAAAAACCCACUACAUGGAGAGCUUGAUUCCACAUGUGGUUCUAAGCUGCCAUAGGGCCUUGCAGAGCACCGUGUGGGUAAGGGAGAAUGACUGUAACUGAGGAAAAUGCUAAACCAGAGACACAAAGGGCCUUGCAGAGCACCGUGUGGG